ACUUAAGCAUAUCCAUAAGCGGAGGAAAAGAAACUAACAAGGAUUCCCCUAGUAACUGNGAGUGAAGCGGGAAAAGCUCAAAUUUUAAAUCUGGCAGUCUGUGACUGUCCGAGUUGUAAUCUAGAGAAGUGUUAUCCGCGCUGGACCGUGUACAAGUCUCCUGGAAUGGAGCGUCACAGAGGGUGAGAAUCCCGUCUUUGACACGGACUGCCAGGGCUUUUGUGAUACGCUCUCAAAGAGUCGAGUUGUUUGGGAAUGCAGCUCAAAAUGGGUGGUAAAUUCCAUCUAAAGCUAAAUAUUGGCGAGAGACCGAUAGCGAACAAGUACCGUGAGGGAAAGAUGAAAAGAACUUUGGAAAGAGAGUUAAAACAGUGCGUGAAAUUGCUGAAAGGGAAACGCUUGAAGUCAGUCACGUCGUCCAGGGAUCAACCUUGCUUUUGCCAGGUGCAUUUUCUGGUUGACGGGUCAGUAUCAAUUUUGAUCGUUGGAAAAAGAUUAGGGGAAUGUGGCAUCUUUGGAUGUGUUAUAGCCCUUGGUUGCAUACAACGGUUGGGAUUGAGGAACUCAGCAUGCCGCAAGGCCGGGUUUUGAACCACG
rnacentral:rRNA from 1 species